CCCAAAAAGACUGGGGCCGGCCCUGCUGCUUAACUAAUAAUACUAUUCCCAGGUUGGAAGAGAAAAGAGUCUUUCUAACAGGUCAAUGGCUCUAUGUGAGCUGACCCUUCUAGUCCUUGUUCAGCCUUUACUCAAAAAAGCAGCCACUCUUCAAUAAGAGCUGCAUUAGCCCUUCCUUCAGUGGCUGGAAAGUGGAGGGGGCCUGGGAUUGGAGAGAAAGCGAUCAUGGGAGAAGAGAGCCUUGGUGAAAAAAAGGGUGGUGAAUGGACAAGUUUUAAUUAAUUUUCUUCAAAAGAGAGCCCGAUUAAAUGUUUCCGGCCUGCUAAAGUGCUCAUUUCACUGAAGGGGGAAGGUGAGAGAGGGAGCGUAAGAGCGAGACAGAGAGCGACAGAGCGAGAGAGAGAGAGAGAGCGAGAGAGAGAGAGAGAGAGCGAGCGAGACAGAGAGAGAGUAAGAGAGAGACAAGAGGCAAGAGGGUUGGGCCUUGAGCUGGACCCUUUCAUGAGCGGGUGCACACCCAGUGGCGUGGCGUCUAAAGAAUGCAUGCGGCACCGAAAUUGCGGGAGGAUUGUCCUUGGACAAAGGGGUGGGAGUUACGCCUGUUAUACUCCAAUAAGCCUUGUCAGUCAAACAAGGAGUGAGAAAGCAAAGAGAAAGGGAAAGCAAUGGAUUUUCAUACAAAGAGAAACAAUGUUGAGAAGAGGGAGUCUCUAAGCCACUGGGGCUCCUGCAGGAGGGAUGCGUUCCUACCAGACACACACACACGGACAGGAGAUGACGACACUGUCUUCUGAAUUGAGCUGGAUGUCCAGCUGGGUUAAGGGCUUUAUAGAGGUGACUACUCUUGUUGAGGUCCAGGUUGAGGUCUCUGCAUCAGAGCAGGACAGUACAGGCUACAGCAUUUGUCUCAACAGAAUAUUUAAUGAACACAUUUAAGUGUUACUCAUUCUUACCCUGGACUGAAAAAAGAAAAGAAAAGAAAAUUGCUUGGAUUUAAUAUUUCUUAAACUUACAUUUAAAAUAACAGUUCACUCAGCCACCAGGCACACAUUUUAAGGGGACCAUGAGUCAAGAGGCUUGGGUCAAUAUAUUCUAUAUAAUCUAACGUGUCAGACCGAUGUCAAAUUCUUGGCUUCGACUCAUGAAAAAGAGGCCCUAACCACAGAUAUCUCCCUGUAAAACUGAAAUACUUUGUUAUUACUGCUUUAAAGAGACCUGGCGUUUUCUCAUUCUCUAGUGGUUAAUACAUGGAGCACUCUCCUCGUUCUUUAAAGAUGGUGCGGGAAAUGUAAUGGUUAUUUUUAGGUCUUCAUUCUUCAUAUUAUGGCACCAUGGUCUAUCAUCAUAGUCUAUCAUUUGCAUUAGCACGCAGAAUUUAAAGGAAAAAAACAUUGAAAAUACUGAUUCUAUAAUCAGGGUUGGGACCAUUUCCAGUAUUAUUCUUGGUUAUACCACAGUGCUGUCGAAUGCUCUAUUCUGAGAGGUCAGAAGGUGUUGAUUAAUUUUCAUAACAGCAUGGCUCGAGCAGUAGUUCAGACUGUUAGGUUUAUAUUAAUGCACUCAUUCUCAUACAUUAUCAUUUCUGUAGUAAUAACUUGCACAAGGACUUGUAAGGCAAACACUUCACAUGAACAUUUUAAAAAAAUGUAUAUAAAAAUUGAUAUGAUGACGUUUUAUGUGACAAGAUGUUUAUUUACCAUUUUUAGAAGGAGUCUCCAGUGUCAGAUGUAAAACUGUAACUAAUCAUGAGUGCCGGGGGAAGGACCUCUGCCUGUAGAAUGACCUCCAGAUCAGCGUCGGUCAGGCCACUGGACACAGAGUUGACCCGCACACAUUUCUCAGUGCGCCCCAGAUUCAGCUCAGCCAGCAUCUUUGGGAUUGUUUC